UUUAUCCUGAUUUUGGGGUCAGAAAGUACUGAUAUUAGGCCGGAUAAUAUAUGGUUUUAAAGAAGCGAUUGAAAAUUAUGGGUAUCAUACGAAAGCUUAUAGAUAUACCCAUGGCACAAUUCCAGAAGGUAGAACAAGCUACAUCCAUGGCACAAUAAGGAGGUAGAACAGUUUCGUCAAACUACAGAAAUACAGCCCUGAGGCUGAUAUGCAACACGUUGUUUUCAUUUUUUUUAUAAUUUUCCUCAUUUUUAAAUAGCCCGAAAAACGAAUAAAAUGCCUGGUUUUUCUCUCAAAAAUAUGAUACACACUGUUCAAUCUUUCCAUUUCAUGGCUAAAUUGGUUAAUAGGUUUAAUGCGCGAGCCGCAAUGUACGUGUUAUGGCCCAAGUAUUAAUUUUCAUUGUCAAGCCAGCUGACUACCAAAUGUUUUAUCAAAAUUAUUGCGAUUGAAUUCACAGAACAAAACAUAAACGAGUAAAUAUUGUAAUAGAAAUUUGACAUUUUAUCUGGUUUUUUAAAUUUGAAGGAACACCUUGUUAUUGCGUCAUGGUAUAAUUAUUACAGGUAACAUCAAAUCCCAGCUGAUUUGACACUAGUGUCAAACUCGAUAUGACGUUUUGUGAUUUAAGCGACCCAUAGACCACACAAAUUUUUGUGCAAAUCGCUUAUGUGUGUUAGUGAAAUAAGGUUGUAUGUGUCACACGUACGAGUUUGUGCAAAUCGAUCUGAAAAAUCAAAACCAUUUAGAUUUUUCGGCUUGUUUGCGCAAAUGUUUGUGUGGCGUGUGUGCGUUUGCACUAAAUCUGUUCAGUUUGUGAUAAACAGUCAAGCAUUACACAACGAAAGAAGAAGAAGAAUAGAAGUUAAUUUUUGACUGGCGAGUGCCAAAGCGACCGCAAUAGCUGCGUUCUCAAACAUUUUUCCGAAUGACUUCACUCGCUGAGUACUUACUUCGAAUGAAAUUUGUGCAAACGUUUGCAACGUGUGUGUGCUAAAUACGUGUGAAUUUGCGCAAAUAAUUUGUGUGGUCUAUUUGCCGCUUUAAUUCCAUUUCUUGAUAUACAAUAGGGCUAACAAGUUCGAAAAAUGUAUUGAUACAUUUCAAAGUUCGCGCGUGACACCAAAAUGUUAAGAAAAAAGAUAAACUUAAAAACUAAAGAAAAAUUAAUAUUUGUCGUGCAAAAAACAAAAAGAUAAAAUAUGGGGCAACUGAUGUAUUCACUUUUGGAUGAUUCCAGGAAUGAAAACGACUGGCUGAAUGAGGAAUCAGACGAAGAAAACGUAUUGGAAAACAGUGCAAAAUUAGUAAAAGGUUGGCUGUCUUCCUAACUUGUAGCAUUAAGUCUUCUUGCAGACUUAACAUUAAUUUAACCGGCGCCUCCAACCAUGUGAGCUUUUCCGGGUUGGGAUUUGAGAAAACUCCACCUCUAAAUACUCUUCAACGCAUUCUGAAAACAAAAAUUUCUAAAUAAACACCAUUCAAAAAUAAUUAUUAAUUUUAAUUUAUUUUCAAUACUCAUUUUUAAAUUUUGACGUCCAUUUCAGUAAGGUUUCACUAGUCCGAUUUAGACUGUUUUCUUUUGGAAUUUUGAAUGUUGACAUUUUAGCACAUUUCUGCUAAUUUUCCGUUCCCUUAUUUUUUGAGCACACCUAAAUGAGAAUGGCAUUUCGUACUGUUCUCUCUUCUGCUAGUUUUACUACUAAAAAAGUACUGGAACACAACUUUUAUGUAUUAAAUAUUUUAAGAACUAUUCUUCUGCAUUUAGAAUUGAAUAAUCCAAAUUCCAAAAAUGAACAGCAUUGAACAUAUGUAC